rnacentral:rRNA from 1 species
GAUGAGCGCUGGCGGCGUGCUUAACACAUGCCAGUCGAGCGAGAAGUUUUGAAAAGAUUCUUCGGAUGAAAUUUAAAAUGGAAAGCGGCGGACGGGUGAGUAACGCGUAGGCAACCUGCCCCAUACAAAGGGAUAGCAUUUGGAAACGAAUAUUAAUACCUUAUGAAACUUAACUAGUGCAUGCUAGGUAGGUCAAAGAUUUAUCGGUAUGGGAUGGGCCUGCGUCUGAUUAGCUAGUUGGUGAGGUAACGGCUCACCAAGGCGACGAUCAGUAGCCGACCUGAGAGGGUGAACGGCCACAUUGGAACUGAGACACGGUCCAAACUCCUACGGGAGGCAGCAGUGGGGAAUAUUGCACAAUGGGGGAAACCCGGAUGCAGCAACGCCGCGUGAACGAUGAAGGCCUUUGGGUCGUAAAGUUCUGUUCUAGGUGAUGAAAACUGACAGUAACCUAGGAGAAAGCCCCGGCUAACUCCGUG